rnacentral:rRNA from 1 species
GCUCAAAUUUGAAAUCUGGCUCUUUCAGAGUCCGAGUUGUAAUUUGAAGAAGGUAUCUUUGGGUCUGGCUCUUGUCUAUGUUUCUUGGAACAGAACGUCACAGAGGGUGAGAAUCCCGUGCGAUGAGAUGAUCCAGGCCUAUGUAAAGUUCCUUCGAAGAGUCGAGUUGUUUGGGAAUGCAGCUCUAAGUGGGUGGUAAAUUCCAUCUAAAGCUAAAUAUUGGCGAGAGACCGAUAGCGAACAAGUACAGUGAUGGAAAGAUGAAAAGAACUUUGAAAAGAGAGUGAAAAAGUACGUGAAAUUGUUGAAAGGGAAGGGCUUGAGAUCAGACUUGGUAUUUUGUAUGUUACUUCUUCGGGGGUGGCCUCUACAGUUUAUCGGGCCAGCAUCAGUUUGGGCGGUAGGAGAAUUGCGUUGGAAUGUGGCACGGCUUCGGUUGUGUGUUAUAGCCUUCGUCGAUACUGCCAGCCUAGACUGAGGACUGCGGUUUAUACCUAGGAUGUUGGCAUAAUGAUCUUAAGUCGCCCGUCUUGA